AUGAGUCUACGAACUUUGUUUCAUACCAUUCAGAAAGAAAUGGCCGAUGGCAGUUUUGAAGGGGCAGAAAGAGAUGCUGCAGAAGACACAGAUGAGCUUCUUUACACUGACCUGGAUGAAGACAGCAAUGCCCCUCUGCCACAGGAUCACUGUGACCUCCUCCUAGAUGCCAUCGAUGCCCAGCUGAGGCGCCUGCAGGUGCAGAGCCAUAGCAAUGGCAUUGAAGGUAUCUCCAGAAAACAUGAUUGCCUCAAUACAGCUCAUCUUAGCAGUAGCCAGUCUGUGAGCAGGGAUACAGGACUGGGAAGUACCAUCCCCACUAACGACACCCCCAUCUCUUGUCUUGACGUGGUACGCUCUGAGACCAGGGACCUAUCUUCAGAGAAGAGCUCAGGAGAACGGGUGGACCCUGCCGAUCAGGAGGAAGAGGAGCAGAGGAUAGUUGAAGUGAUGAAAGAGGAAGAGGAGGGUGUAGAGUCCCGGAAGGAGCAGUGUCACUGGAGGCUGGAGAGGCUGUUGGGGACUAAUGCCUGUGGAGGAGGAGGGUUAGCAGGAGAGCUGUGCUCCCCUCCAGAAAGUGUCUGCACAGAGGACUUUGCCAUGCGCUUCAGGGAGGAGAUGGUGGUGAGGCUGCCAGACAGGACCAAACAGAGACUGGCCAGAGACUGGAGUAGCAACCUGGGACAGUCCUUUGGAGAGGAAGAGGCUGAAAGGACAGCAUCAAAACAAGCAGGUGGUCUCACUGCUACUGGGGGAGAGGUUGUGGAUCGAGGCAUGGGUUAUACAGAGCUUCCCCAUCACAUGGACAAGCAAGGCCAGGAGAGCCAGACUCAUCACAGGCAUGGCGAGAGGAGAACUAACUGGAGUGGAAACCUAGGGGCCAGUGAGAGCCACACAAGAGCACCACAGAGGCUUAGUGGUCUUAGCAGGAGUGAAUGCUCUCUUCACUCUCUAGUGACUCCACCAGGGGGUGAUAGACAGCUGUCAGUAGAGACAUCUUCACAGUCCUUUGGGUUACCCCAGCCUGCCACAGUGCCUGGUCCUCCCAGCACUAGCAGUGUUCGUACAGGGGUUCUCAUUGAGGCCUGUUCCAGUCUGGAGCCUGAGGGAACCAAGGAGAACAGGCACCAUGCUGCUAGAACCACCACCAGACACCUGGCAGGAGUGCCUGUGUGGAAUUUUGACACAGUGACCAUAGACAGUGACCUGGACUCAGUACGCACAGAGAAGGUCUGGCAACACAUCCACAGCAGGCCAGGAUACCUGUCAGCCAUUCGGUCUGUCAGCCGCGUGGAUGGUCUCGACACUGACCAGAGUGACUAUGACACACCCACUCUGGAGCCAAGGAAUCUCAAGUUUACUCCAGCACUGAUCGCUAGCAAUGGAAAUGUGACCAGUGACAGUCUACCUCUUCGUAAAGCACACAAAAGCAGAAGAGACACUCACAGGUGUGGGCUCUCUGUGGAUGAUGAUGAUGAGGACACAGAUGAGGGCUGUGUCCGCUGGAGGAGGAGACGUAGGCCUGACAAGGACACAGGGGGACAUGUGUGUACGCAGAGGCCUGGGGGUCGUCUGGAGGAGGUGAGGUCAGACUGGCUACAGAUGGAGGAGGAGCUGGCUACCCUCAGACAGGACUGUGAGAAGGAGGAGAAGAGGCUGAGGAUGAAGAGAGCUCAGCUGUGUGAGACUGAACUGUCCCUCACUGACCUUCUUCAGAAAAGAAAACAUGCCAUGCAGGAGUGGGAGCAGCUGCGUGCGGGGGCAGAGCAGAUGGAAAGGGAGGGGAGGAGUCUGGAGGCCAGCCUGAGAGACAGCAAGGCAGAAGCAGACAGCACCAGUUCUCAGCUGUGCCGGCUGCAGAGGCAGAGGGACUCCUGUUUGCAGAAGGUCAGGAAUCUGAAGGAGGAGCUGGCUGCUCUAUGUAAACACAGAACUGCCUUAACGGAUGGGACCUGCAUGGACAGGAAGUUGGACGAAGCUCACGAGGAGCUCCAGCGUGUAACAGAGGAGGAGAAGUUACUGAGGGAUAGGUGUGCAUGUCUGGAGGAGAAACACAGACUGAAACAGGAGGAGGAGGAGGCAGUGGAGGUGCAGGUGUGUGAGCUACAGAAAGAGCUGGGGGAGAGUGAGAGCAGGGUGGAGAGGAUAGUAGCCCAGAAGGAGCUGCAGCUGCUGGGGUUCCAGGAGGAGAGGAGUGCCUUGCAGGCAGAGAGAGAUGGGCUCCAGGGGGAGCUCCGUAGCCUGAGGAAGCUGCACAGCAUCUCCCUGAGAGAGACCCAGGAGCAGGCACUCACGCAGACGCAGCGGGAGCUGGAGCAGCUGAAGAAAGAGUUGGCUUUGUCUCAUGAGAAACACAUCCAGCAGGCUCAUAUUCAAGCUGAAGAAGAGAAAACAGUUUCUCUCAGAGAACAGGCCCUGUCUCACACACAGCACAUUGAGUCCAUACAGAGCUGCAUCCAGAUGAAGGAGAAGGAGUGGUGGAAGCUGAGGGAGGCUCUUAAGGAGCAGAAGGAGGUGAUGAGGAGGCGAGAGGAGGAGCUGUGUGCGGAAGCUCGGGAGAUGAUGCACGGCACCAUAGAGAGUGAGAGGAAGAAAUGGGCGGCAGAGAAAGAAGCGGCUCUACAGUUGCAGUGUGGGAUACUGGAGGAGCAAGGCCGGGAGGCUCUGGAGAGAAUGAGGGGAGAGACUGAGAGAGAGAAGAGGAAUGCCUUGGCUCUUCAAAGCAAAGUGGUAGAACUGAGGACAAAAGUGCAGGAGUUGGAAAGUGAGGGCCUUGUGCAGCAGAGUGAGCAGGCGUCUGCUCUCGCUGCAAUGCGUAGGUCCCUGAGAGAGAAGCACCAGGUUGAGCUACAGAGACUGCGCAGGCACAUGGAACAGGAGGGCGAGAGGGAAUCGUUGAGGCUGGAGCAGGUUGUCCAACAAGCAGAGGAGGAGGCUGGUAGACUGCAGGUGCUGCUGGGGGAGAGGGAGCACAUCCACAAGCAGGCCACAGCCAGGCUGGAGCAGCAGCACAGACACUGGGCCCAGGAGAUGGGGGCAGAGUGUCAGCAUCUUCAGCACCUGCUGGAACACAGUGGGGCCGUAGGGAGCUCCCUUCAGCUCCCACACAGUCCUACGGUGGCCCAGGCAGUCCAAACCCUGCAGGUCCUCAGAGAGCAGUUGCAGCAGUCAAUCAGUCAACUACAGCAGGAGCUUGACUUACAGAGACGCAGCACUCAGCAGCUGAGCCGGGACAAAGAGCGGGAGUUCCGUAUUCUGAGGGAACAGAUGGAGACGGAGAGACAGCAGGCUCUGGACUCACUGAAGGAGACACUCAUUCAGGAGCACAUUGAGGAGCUGAGCGAUCUGCAGCAGGCCCAGGUGCGGGAGGAAGGAGACGAGACAGGAGGUUUGGCUGCGUCCCUGCGCAGGCAGCUGCAGGCCAAAGACCAGGAACUGCGCCGGGUGCAGAGGAGCAUGGGACAGUGGAAGGAGCAGACCACUGCACGCCUGGCACGCAAGUUUGAGGAGGAGUUGACAGCCGAACUGGAGAGGUGCAAGGCAAAGUUGUUAAAGGGGAGAAAGGCACCUAAGGCACAAGAGGAGAAGCAGAGGAAGCUGGAGAAACUGGAAGGGGAGAUGAGACGCAUUACUGGGGAAUGCACUGACUCUGGAGCUCAGCAAUCAGCCUCCUCUCCCUCACUCCACAUUGGGGAAGCCCCUACCUCCCCCGGGUCCUCAGACCUGGCCUCCUUCAAGCUACUGCGUCACCUACAGAGCCGGGUCAAACAGCUCCGUGCUGAGAACCAGGCCCAUGCCCAUGCCUGCAGCCCCUCUCAAUUGGGCAGGACCCCUCUAGGCAGGGCCCCAAUGGAGCUGGCUGGUUCCUACCUGGAGACGAUCACACCAUCCCAGGAAUGCACUCAGUUUUGGAGUCGUUCCCGUUCCAGGACAGUACAGGGUGAAGGAUUGUGA
rnacentral:lncRNA from 13 species